UUUAGGAUCUUGGAAGAUGUUUAGACGAACCUUGAACAGAAGAACAUGUUUGUGUCUCUGUAAGCAGAUAAACAUUCUGUACUGAUCUCAGUGACAUGACAUGGCCUUCUUAGGCAUUAUCCUCACAUGAGAAUGAAACAGAACAAGAACAAACUUAUUACAAAGUAAAAAUGAGUAAUUUCCCUCACAACUACUAAUGUGAGAGGUGAGUUUACUGAUUUAAAGUUAUGUUUCUUUCUCUUUUUAGGUAUCAUAAAGAAAUGAAGGCGAUUUUCAGGUUGUCUUACUCUUUGUAAAUUACAGUGAGGCUUUGAGGUGUUAUGGAUGUGUUGGAAAAGACUGUUCAGGUAGACAAGAGAAAUGUGGCUCUCUUUUGCAAAAUCCUGUCUGUGCCAUCAUAGAUGCCCCAAGAUUUUCUAUGAAAGGAUGCAUGAGUGAGUACAUCUGUAGGGAGCAACAGCAGGCUCCUGGUACCACUGCUACCUGCUGCAGUACCGACUUCUGCAACC